GAGUUUGAUCCUGGCUCAGAUUGAACGCUGGCGGUAUGCUUAAGACAUGCAAGUCGAACGGAAUCUUCGGAUUCAGUGGCGGACGGGUGAGUAACACGUGGGAAUCUACUGAGUAGUGGGGGACAGCCCGGCGAAAGCCGGAUUAAUACCGCAUACGCCCUACGGGGGAAAGGCGCAAGCCGCUAUUUAAUGAGCCCGCGUAAGAUUAGCUAGUUGGUAGGGUAAAGGCUUACCAAGGCAACGAUCUUUAGCUGGUCUGAGAGGAUGGCCAGCCACAUCGGGACUGAGACACGGCCCGGACUCCUACGGGAGGCAGCAGUCGGGAAUAUUGGACAAUGGGCGCAAGCCUGAUCCAGCAAUACCGCGUGUGUGAAGAAGGCCUGCGGGUUGUAAAGCACUUUCAGUUGGGAAGAUAAUGACGUUACCAACAGAAGAAGCACCGGCUAACUCCGUGCCAGCAGCCGCGGUAAUACGGAGGGUGCAAGCGUUAAUCGGUAUUACUGGGCGUAAAGCGUGCGUAGGCGGUUUUUUAAGUCAGAUGUGAAAUCCCCGGGCUCAACCUGGGAACUGCAUCUGAUACUGGGAGACUAGAGUGUGGGAGAGGAGAGUGGAAUCUCCGGUGUAGCGGUGAAAUGCAUAGAGAUCGGAAGGAACAUCAGUGGCGAAGGCGACUCUCUGGACCAACACUGACGCUGAGGCACGAAAGCGUGGGUAGCAAACAGGAUUAGAUACCCUGGUAGUCC
rnacentral:rRNA from 1 species